GAGUGAUGAUGAAAAAAUUGUACUACAGAACUUCGUAAAUAAGAUCUCUACACCUGACUUGAGCUCG
rnacentral:snoRNA from 14 species